rfam:Glarea lozoyensis 74030 unplaced genomic scaffold M7I_scaffold3, whole genome shotgun sequence.
ACAUACGAUCAUAGAUUGUGGAAAACUAGGCAUCCCGUCCGCUCUGCCAUUAUAAGCCACAAAUCGGCAGGUUAGUAGUUGGGUGGGUGACCACCAGCGAAUACCUGCUGUCGUAUGUU